rnacentral:lncRNA from 1 species
AACAAAAGCGGCUUGUCAAAGUCAAAGUGUGCCAUGACAAUUUCGACGCCGCAGAGCAAGAGCUGCGAAGAACAACCCAAGCAGGAACGUUCCGGUACCGGUGGUUGUUCCGUCGGUUGUCCACACGGAAUCUACGUUGGAUUGUUUGACUAAAAUAUGUCACGCCAAGUUUCGAAGGUUUUUUGCCGGAUUUCGACAUCCCCGACAAGAUCGACGUCCGCCGGAAAUCCAACAAUGGCCAAGCUGCUCAGUCAACGUCCGGGCACCUGUUCUGCGGACUUUUGACGGAUCUGAUGACAACAGUAGCUGAUCCGCUGGCUGUCAGCCGGAGAAAUGGACGUGGAACCGUUUUCCUCCACGAAAAAGCACAGUUCCGGACGAAUGCUUCUCAGCGGAUGAAUGGGCUGGCUGGCCGGAAAUGGACAUUCGCUUCUCGAAGAUUCAACCUCAUGGCGGAAUUCGGAAGAGCAUACAUGACGGGCAGAAUUUUGUGAAAAGAAUAGUAUUAAUAAUUACAAUGUAUCGAUUUUUCAUGUGUAAUUACGGAAAAUGUCGAAUAAAUUUGAGUUUUUGGUUUUUCUUUUAUUUUUACCAAAAUCAAACUCAA